rnacentral:rRNA from 1 species
AUUGAACGCUGGCGGCAGGCCUAACACAUGCAAGUCGAGCGGAUGAAGGGAGCUUGCUCCUGGAUUCAGCGGCGGACGGGUGAGUAAUGCCUAGGAAUCUUCCUGGUAGUGGGGGAUAACGUCCGGAAACGGGCGCUAAUACCGCAUACGUCCUGAGGGAGAAAGUGGGGGAUCUUCGGACCUCACGCUAUCAGAUGAGCCUAGGUCGGAUUAGCUAAUUGGUGGGGUAAAGGCCUACCAAGGCGACGAUCCGUAACUGGUCUGAGAGGAUGAUCAGUCACAGUGGAACUGAGACACGGUCCAGACUGCUACGGGAGGCAGCAGUGGGGAAUAUUGGACAAUGGGCGAAAGCCUGAUCCAGCCAUGCCGCGUGUGUGAAGAAGGUCUUCGGAUUGUAAAGCACUUUAAGUUGGGAGGAAGGGCAGUAAGUUAAUACCUUGCUGUUUUGACGUUACCAACAGAAUAAGCACCGGCUAACUUCGUG